rnacentral:rRNA from 1 species
UACGAAGGAGGCUAGCGUUGCUCGGAAUCACUGGGCGUAAAGGGUGCGUAGGCGGGUCUUUAAGUCAGGGGUGAAAUCCUGGAGCUCAACUCCAGAACUGCCUUUGAUACUGAGGAUCUUGAGUUCGGGAGAGGUGAGUGGAACUGCGAGUGUAGAGGUGAAAUUCGUAGAUAUUCGCAAGAACACCAGUGGCUAAGGCGGCUCACUGGCCCGAUACUGACGCUGAGGCACGAAAGCGUGGGGAGCAAACAGG